UGAGUUACCGCUCUAUAACCCUUUGUGAACAUACCUACAACUGUUGCUUCGGCGGGUAGGCCGUCCCCUGAAAAGGACGCCUCCCGGCCCGGACCGGACCCCCCGCGGGACCGGACCCGGCGCCCGCCGGAGGAUAACCAAACUCUAUUGUAACGACGUUUCUUCUGAGUGGCAUAAGCAAAAUAAUCAAAACUUUUAACAACGGAUCUCUUGGUUCUGGCAUCGAUGAAGAACGCAGCGAAAUGCGAUAAGUAAUGUGAAUUGCAGAAUUCAGUGAAUCAUCGAAUCUUUGAACGCACAUUGCGCCCGCCAGCAUUCUGGCGGGCAUGCCUGUUCGAGCGUCAUUUCAACCCUCAAGCUCUGCUUGGUGUUGGGGCUCUACGGUCGACGUAGGCCCUCAAAGGUAGUGGCGGACCCUCCCGGAGCCUCCUUUGCGUAGUAACAUUUCGUCUCGCACUGGGAUCCGGGAGGGACUCUUGCCGUAAAACCCCCCAAUUUUCCAAAGGUUGACCUCGGAUCAGGUAGGAAUACCCGCUGAACUUAAGCAUAUCAAUAAGCGAA
rnacentral:rRNA from 1 species